AUUUUCUUUAAGAAGACUGACAGCUAGGGGCUUGGGGGACCCUGGGGGGUUUUCUUAUUAGCCCAGUCACUGGGAAUACCUUGGCCCUACUUUGAGGAAGGUGUAUCUGUUUUGUGGGGGAUAAUUUAUCUAAUUUUUAGGGCCAGAGUUAUUAGACACCCUUUGGAUCUGUUUGUAUAUUUAUGGCCAAAGCGAUUUGACUUACUCUUGCAUUAGAGUUGGUGUAGUUGGACAUAUUUUUUCUUCUUUUUUUUUUCCCUUCAAUUUGCAAAACUGUGAGAUAGCCGAUUGACUCCCUC